rnacentral:rRNA from 1 species
GUCUACAGCCAUACCACCCUGAACAUGCCCAAGCUCGUCUGAUCUCGGAAGCUAAGCAGGGUUGGGCCUGGUUAGUACUUGGAUGGGAAGAAAUUCACCUCUCGAGAUUGGAAAAUGGCGGCGAGCU